AGGCCCUUCGGGGAUACACGAGCGGCGAACGGGUGAGUAACACNAUGGGUGAUCUGCCCUGCACUUCGGGAUAAGCCUGGGAAACUGGGUCUAAUACCGGAUAUGACCUUCGGCUGCAUGGCUGAGGGUGGAAAGGUUUACUGGUGCAGGAUGGGCCCGCGGCCUAUCAGCUUGUUGGUGGGGUAAUGGCCUACCAAGGCGACGACGGGUAGCCGACCUGAGAGGGUGACCGGCCACACUGGGACUGAGACACGGCCCAGACUCCUACGGGAGGCAGCAGUGGGGAAUAUUGCACAAUGGGCGAAAGCCUGAUGCAGCGACGCCGCGUGAGGGAUGACGGCCUUCGGGUUGUAAACCUCUUUCAGCAGGGACGAAGCGAAAGUGACGGUACCUGCAGAAGAAGCACCGGCUAACUACGUGCCAGCAGCCGCGGUAAUACGUAGGGUGCAAGCGUUGUCCGGAAUUACUGGGCGUAAAGAGUUCGUAGGCGGUUUGUCGCGUCGUUUGUGAAAACUCACAGCUCAACUNNGAGCNUGCAGGCGAUACGGGCAGACUUGAGUACUGCAGGGGAGACUGGAAUUCCUGGUGUAGCGGUGAAAUGCGCANAUAUCAGGAGGAACACCGGUGGCGAANGCGGGUCUCUGGGCAGUAACUGACNCUGAGGAACGAAAGCGUGGGUAGCAAACAGGAUUANAUACCCUGGUANUCCACGCCGUAAACNGUGGGCGCUAGGUGUGGNUUCCUUUCCC
rnacentral:rRNA from 1 species